CUCUUAUCCAGAGUAGGCGGAGGGACUGGCCCGAUGAAGCCCGGCAACCGACACGCGGAUUUUUGCAAGUACGACGCGUGCACGGUGCCAAUUCCUGCAGGAUCACACGAUCCUGAGAGAUGAGAG
rnacentral:ncRNA from 1 species